rnacentral:rRNA from 1 species
GACGAAUGCUGGCGGCGUGCCUAAUACAUGCAAGUAGAACGCUGAAGGAGGAGCUUGCUUCUCUGGAUGAGUUGCGAACGGGUGAGUAACGCGUAGGUAACCUGCCUGGUAGCGGGGGAUAACUAUUGGAAACGAUAGCUAAUACCGCAUAAGAGUAGAUGUUGCAUGACAUUUGCUUAAAAGGUGCACUUGCAUCACUACCAGAUGGACCUGCGUUGUAUUAGCUAGUUGGUGGGGUAAGGGCUCACCAAGGCGACGAUACAUAGCCGACCUGAGAGGGUGAUCGGCCACACUGGGACUGAGACACGGCCCAGACUCCUACGGGAGGCAGCAGUAGGGAAUCUUCGGCAAUGGACGGAAGUCUGACCGAGCAACGCCGCGUGAGUGAAGAAGGUUUUCGGAUCGUAAAGCUCUGUUGUAAGAGAAGAACGAGUGUGAGAGUGGAAAGUUCAC